GCUGGGCAUGGUGGCGCACAGGUGCCUAUAGUCCCAGCUGCUUGGGAGGCUGAAGCUGGAGGCUCGCUCAAGCCUAGGAGUUCUGCACUGUCAAGUGCUAUACCGAUAGGGUGUCCGCACUAAGUUCGGCAAUGUGGUGACUUCUCGGGAGCUGGCGACCACCAGGUUGCCUAAGGAGGGGUGAACCAGCCCAGGCUGGCAAUGGAGCAGGCCAAAACUCCCAUGCUAAUCAGAAACCGAACACUGCUAGCAAUUACAUGAACUUAGAAGUAGAUCUUUCCCUAGUUCAC
ensembl:misc_RNA Metazoa_SRP Metazoan signal recognition particle RNA